rnacentral:lncRNA from 1 species
CUGUGGGUAACAUUCCUCUGUUGAAGGUAGAAAAGAUUAGCCAAGACGUAAAUACAAACAGCUCGACUAUAGAGAAUGCGACUACAUUAUCAAGCCCUGUAGCCACCUUGUCCUUUAGUGCUACUGCCACUUUUGAAGUUCGAAGCCCCUCUAGAAUACAGGUAUACUCGUUGACUCCAUUCUGAUUUCCUUAGAAAGGUACUUGCAACAAUUUUCUGCACAAAGAGAGAAAAUGAGAAUUUUGGAUCUAAUUAUGCAAGAUAUUGAGAAAUUGUAGGGGUCGAUUAUGUUUUUUUGGUUAACUUCUGUAGAGUAUGUUGGGAGUUUUUUAAUUUUUCCUUCCGCAUUUGGCUGACAACUGCUUACUUUUGCAGGUUGAAUUCAAGGAAGGGAAUUUUAAACCUCCAGAAAUAAAAUCGAACAUAAAUCUGCCGGAAACUGUGGAUUUGUUUGGG